rnacentral:rRNA from 1 species
GAGGACCGAACCGACUAAUGUUGAAAAAUUAGCGGAUGACUUGUGGCUGGGGGUGAAAGGCCAAUCAAACCGGGAGAUAGCUGGUUCUCCCCGAAAGCUAUUUAGGUAGCGCCUCGUGAACUCAUCUCCGGGGGUAGAGCACUGUUUCGGCAAGGGGGUCAUCCCGACUUACCAACCCGAUGCAAACUGCGAAUACCGGAGAAUGUUAUCACGGGAGACACACGGCGGGUGCUAACGUCCGUCGUGAA